CCCGAGACUCAGUGAAAUUGAACUCGCUGUGAAGAUGCAGUGUACCCGCGGCAAGACGGAAAGACCCCGUGAACCUUUACUAUAGCUUGACACUGAACAUUGAGCCUUGAUGUGUAGGAUAGGUGGGAGGCUUGGAAGUGUGGACGCCAGUCUGCAUGGAGCCGACCUUGAAAUACCACCCUUUAAUGUUUGAUGUUCUAACGUGGACCCGUGAUCCGGGUUGCGGACAGUGUCUGGUGGGUAGUUUGACUGGGGCGGUCUCCUCCUAAAGAGUAACGGAGGAGCACGAAGGUUGGCUAAUCCUGGUCGGACAUCAGGAGGUUAGUGCAAUGGCAUAAGCCAGCUUGACUGCGAGCGUGACGGCGCGAGCAGGUGCGAAAGCAGGUCAUAGUGAUCCGGUGGUUCUGAAUGGAAGGGCCAUCGCUCAACGGAUAAAAGGUACUCCGGGGAUAACAGGCUGAUACCGCCCAAGAGUUCAUAUCGACGGCGGUGUUUGGCACCUCGAUGUCGGCUCAUCACAUCCUGGGGCUGAAGUAGGUCCCAAGGGUAUGGCUGUUCGCCAUUUAAAGUGGUACGCGAGCUGGGUUUAGAACGUCGUGAGACAGUUCGGUCCCUAUCUGCCGUGGGCGCUGG
rnacentral:rRNA from 1 species